rnacentral:lncRNA from 1 species
GCCAAUUUGCUUCUCUUUCUCCCCUUCGGUGCCAGUGGGCUGUUUUCAAGUGGGAAAAGGGGUGUUUAACACAGAUACCCCCACCUUGGACAAUACCAAACCAGAUGGAAAGGGCAAUGGGCGGCGUAUGUGGGAAUUGUGGAUGACCACCGUGGGCGAUAAAGAAGAAAAAAGACAACAUUAUACCACAGCAAAGAAUCUUCCGCCGCGCUACCCCCAUUGCAGAGCAGCAUUUAAAAAGAACGCCCUUUGGGAGGGAGAUGAGAAUGCUUUCCCGCGCUGGCUUCCAUGUGCCUUCCCUGACAAUGGGGUAAGAUUCUCUCCCUUAGGCGCUGCUAGACUUCUCUGGGACUUCUCCAUGUCCUCACCUGAUAAAGAUCAGAGCAAUUAUCUCUCCUCCAACUCAAAACUUUAUGGGAACUACGUGCCUCCAGUUGGAAAACCGAUCAAAAGAUGAUUCCAUUGCCCAGGUUCAAGCAGAUCUCAAUUUAGUGCUUUUAAAAAAUAAAAAAGGAGGAGCUGCCGCGCCUGCAGCAGAGAUAAUCGAGCUCCGGGGCAGACAUGAUGACUGAGUGGGAGCCGGUUCGAGGGUUCGCACCACACGUGGUUAAGCCCCCUGCUUUCGUGCGGCAGACUCCAAGAAGAUGUGCACCUGGACUUGCCCCCUGCUGCAAACUUGGCUCUGGGCUGAUGGGCAUCUGGGUCAUGGGAAAGAUCGUAGUCGGCACCUAUUUCUUUACUCUUUCUUUGUUUGAUUCUGAGUAUGAUCUUGGCAAGAC